rnacentral:rRNA from 1 species
GCAUAAAUAAGCGGAGGAAAAGAAACCAACAGGGAUUGCCCCAGUAACGGCGAGUGAAGCGGCAAGAGCUCAAAUUUGAAAGCUGGCUCCUUCGGGGUCCGCAUUGUAAUUUGUAGAGGAUGCUUCGGGAGCGGUCCCCAUCUAAGUGCCCUGGAACGGGACGUCAUAGAGGGUGAGAAUCCCGUAUGGGAUGGGGUGUCCGCGCCCGUGUGAAGCUCCUUCGACGAGUCGAGUUGUUUGGGAAUGCAGCUCUAAAUGGGUGGUAAAUUUCAUCUAAAGCUAAAUAUUGGCCGGAGACCGAUAGCGCACAAGUAGAGUGAUCGAAAGAUGAAAAGCACUUUGAAAAGAGAGUUAAAAAGCACGUGAAAUUGUUGAAAGGGAAGCGCUUGCGACCAGACUCGCUCGCGGGGUUCAGCCGGCAUUCGUGCCGGUGUAUUUCCCCGCGGGCGGGCCAGCGUCGGUUUGGGCGGUCGGUCAAAGGCCCUCGGAAGGUAACGCCCCUAGGGGCGUCUUAUAGCCGAGGGUGCAAUGCGACCUGCCUAGACCGAGGAACGCGCUUCGGCUCGGACGCUGGCAUAAUGGUCGUAAACGACCCGUCUUGAAACACGGACCAAGGAGUCUAACAUCUACGCGAGUGUUCGGGUGUCAAACCCGUGCGCGAAGUGAAAGCGAACGGAGGUGGGAACCCUUACGGGUGCACCAUCGACCGAUCCUGAAGUCUUCGGAUGGAUUUGAGUAAGAGCGUAGCUGUUGGGACCCGAAAGAUGGUGAACUAUGCCUGAAUAGGGCGAAGCCAGAGGAAACUCUGGUGGAGGCUCGUAGCGGUUCUGACGUGCAAAUCGAUCGUCGAAUUUGGGUAUAGGGGGCGAAAGACUAAUCGAACCAUCUGGUAGCUGGUUCCUGCG